CAAAGGCUUGGUCCUGACUUUACUAUCAACUUUAGCUAAACUUACACAUGCAAGUAUCCGCACCCCUGUGAGAAUGCCCUACAGUUCCCCGCCCGGGAACGAGGAGCCGGUAUCAGGCACACAUAACCAGCCCAUGACACCUUGCUUAGCCACACCCUCAAGGGAACUCAGCAGUGAUAGACAUUAAGCCAUAAGUGAAAACUUGACUUAGUCAAAGCUAACAGGGCCGGUAAAACUCGUGCCAGCCACCGCGGUUAUACGAGAGGCCCAAGUUGACAGUCACCGGCGUAAAGAGUGGUUAAAGAAUGAUUAAAACUAAAGCCGAACACCUUCAAGGCAGUUAUACGCACCCGAAGGUUAGAAGCCCAACUACGAAAGUGGCUUUAUCUUUCCUGAACCCACGAGAGCUACGGCACAAACUGGGAUUAGAUACCCCACUAUG
rnacentral:rRNA from 1 species